rnacentral:siRNA from 1 species
ACCCGAUCCGAAUCCGAACCGAA